AUUGAACGCUGGCGGCAUGCCUUACACAUGCAAGUCGAACGGCGGCACGGGUGCUUGCACCUGGUGGCGAGUGGCGAACGGGUGAGUAAUACAUCGGAACGUACCUUAUCGUGGGGGAUAACGCAGCGAAAGCUGUGCUAAUACCGCAUACGCCCUGAGGGGGAAAGCGGGGGAUCGAAAGACCUCGCGCGAUUAGAGCGGCCGAUGCCUGAUUAGCUUGUUGGUGGGGUAAAAGCCCACCAAGGCGACGAUCAGUAGCUGGUCUGAGAGGACGAUCAGCCACACUUGGACUGAGACACGGCCCAGACUCCUACGGGAGGCAGCAGUGGGGAAUUUUGGACAAUGGGGGCAACCCUGAUCCGGCAAUGCCGCGUGAGUGAAGAAGGCCUUCGGGUUGUAAAGCUCUUUUGUCAGGGAAGAAACACCGGCUCUAACACAGUCCGGGAAUGACGGUACCUGAAGAAUAAGCACCGGCUAACUACGUGCCAGCCGCCGCCGUAA
rnacentral:rRNA from 1 species